GGCCUGUUGGUCUAGGGUAUGAUUCCUGCUUUGGGUGCAGGAGGUCCUGGGUUCGAAUCCCGGACAGGCCC